rnacentral:rRNA from 1 species
UAUGAUGGCCAUGUUACCCUGCACAAGCCCGAUCCUGUCUGAUCUCAGAAGCUAAGCAGGGUCGGGACUGGUUAGUACUUGGAUGGGAGACCAUCUAAGAAGACCAGAUGCAGCAGGU